CGAGGGGGCUAGUGUUGUUCGGAAUCGACUGGGCGUAAAGGGAGCGUAGGCGGAGCCUAAGUUCGGGUGUUUAAUUCCGGGGCCCAACCCCGGGCGUGCACUCAAAACUGGGUUUCUUGAAUAGGGGAGAGGUCGAUGGAAUUGGAGGUGUAGCGGUGGAAUGCGUAGAGAUCUCCAAGAACACCGGUUGCGAAGGCGGUCGACUGGACCCAUAUUGACGCUGAGGCUCGAAAGCGUGGGGAGCAAACAGGAUUAGAUACCCUGGUAGUCCACGCCAUAAACGAUGAAGACUAGGUUUUAGGCCCGUCAACGGUCUAGAGCCGUAGCUAACGCGUUAAGUCUUCCGCCUGGGGAGUACGCCCGCAAGGGUG
rnacentral:rRNA from 1 species